GACACGUGUCUUUAGCUUACAAUCCUAACCCUCCAUUAAUCUAUUCCCAAUUUUUUUCAUCUGCUUUCUUUUCCAUCUUUGCCCUGUUCAUUAUCUCCUCAGUUCAUUCACCAUCCCUUUACUCUUUGCUGUUAUGUACUCCUUUCUCAUUAUUGAGUUUCUUUCUCUACUCUUCCCUUUAUUAUUCUCUGUUAAUCAUCUCAGUUUCUUCCUCUACUCUUGGUCCUUCAUUUGCUUUUCAAGUACUUAUUGAUUUUCUUUUGACUUUGUCCAUUUCUUUGCUGAGUUUCAGGGAAAAUGAAAUACAAAGACAAUCAUCAAUACCGAGAAUGGAGUUGGAGAACAUUUAAUGGCGUCUUUGAGAAGCAUGGCAGCUUUAAGAUCGAUUUAUUUGUCGAUAAUGGAGAUUGUUUUUUCAUCGUGGAGGAAGAAGUUUCAAAUAAUAGUUUGAUUUUAAGAAAUGGAGGAUAUUUUGAAAUUUGAAGGACAUCAUUUAGGAGAUGCUUAACUUUUCAUAUAAUGUCAUCAACAAUGGAGGUAGAUUAAGAACUGUUCUUGAUGUGGGUUGUGGUGUUGCGAGUUUUGGUGGUACCUUCUCUCAUCCGAUGUCAUUGCUAUGUCCUUGGCACGUAAUGCUGUUCAUCAAAAUCAAAUACAGAUUGGAUUGGAAAGACGAACCCCUGCUUAUCUUGGUGUUUUAGGGACAAAAAGCUACCAUAUCCUAGCAGGUCAUUUGAACUUGCGCACUGCUCACGAUGUAGAAUGGAUUGGCUUCAAAGAGAUGAUACACUUGUUCUUGAGUUAGAUAGGGUUUGGUGGCUAUUUUGCCUAAUCUUCUCCAAAAGCAUAUGCACAAGAUGAGGAGGUUCUUAGGAUAUGGAAAGAGAUGAGUGCUGUUGUGGAGAGGAUCUUAGCAUAUGCACCUUAUUAUUUGUUUGUUUGGCACCUUAGAUUACUUUUUUGCUUUUCUUCGUCCUUGCUAAGUUGUUUGCUUAAAUAACUUUGCAUUACCAGACUGAUUGUCAAUCUGUCAUCAAUAUGUUGCACCCAAAUCUGAAGAACUAAAACGGCAGCCAGAUGGGAGUACGUUCGCUUUGGAGUUAGAUAAUAAAGGAUCAAGUCCGACCUCAGCACCAUAAACUUAAACAAAUUUUGAAUCUAGCCAGAAAAAUCGACCUGGACUUUCUGAAAAUCCAAUUCAACUCAAAUAUCCUGAUAUCACUUUAUUCAUAUACUCCUUUUGUGAAGUUUUGAAGUUUUUUUUCUUGAAUUAAAAUCUUGAAGCGCAUGUUGUCUGUUGCCGCUGCUUGGUACCAAAUGCUUCCAUAAACUACUGGUUCACACACUGAUUCUAUACCAGCUGGUUUCUGGUGUUGUUUGUUUGUUGGUGUAGUUUGAGCAUUGUAAAGCAACUUUUGGCCUGGUUUGCUUUUGGUUGCUUUGCUUGAUGCAAUUAGCUACUGAUGCUGCUUGCUUGGAGCUUGGGAGUUGUUUCUGCAGCUUUUGGAGAUUUUAAACUAAUACAUUUGAAACUCGAUUAUUUUUUUACUAAAGUUUAAUUUAUUGCUUUUUUACAUGAAACUCGAAUCAUGCAAAUUAUUAUUAUUAAAUUCAAUAGUGUAAUUUGGGGAGCUGCAUACCAAUAAUUAUUAAAAUAGUUGUCAAAAAGGGCAGGCGUCACUGUGUUGAGUUGUUGAACAAUGGUCCCACAGACUAUAAUAAUUGAUUCAUGAGAUGGUGUUUUAGUUGUAAAAAAGAGAUAUUAGUAAUUUGAAAAACAUUUGAUAAUCGAUAUCUCUUAAUUAUCUUAAAAAAGUUAUCAUUUGUUAUUUU